rfam:Candidatus Rokubacteria bacterium 13_2_20CM_2_64_8 13_2_20cm_2_scaffold_4162, whole genome shotgun sequence.
GGGGAGGUACCCAAGUGGUCAAAGGGGGCAGACUGUAAAUCUGCUGGUUUCGGCCUUCGGAGGUUCAAACCCUCCCCUCCCCA